UACGGAGGAUCCGAGCGUUAUCCGGAUUUAUUGGGUUUAAAGGGUGCGCAGGCGGGAGAUUAAGUCGGCGGUGAAAUUUUGCAGCUCAACUGUAAAAGUGCCUUCGAAACUGGUUUCCUUGAGUGUAGAUGAAGUAGGCGGAAUUUGUGGUGUAGCGGUGAAAUGCUUAGAUAUCACGAGGAACUCCGAUUGCGCAGGCAGCUUACUAAACUACUACUGACGCUCAGGCACGAAGGCGUGGGGAUCAAACAGGAUUAGAUACCCCGGUAGU
rnacentral:rRNA from 1 species